AGAGCGAACGCUGGCGGCAGGCUUAACACAUGCAAGUCGAGCGGGCGUAGCAAUACGUCAGCGGCAGACGGGUGAGUAACGCGUGGGAACGUACCUUUUGGUUCGGAACAACCCAGGGAAACUUGGGCUAAUACCGGAUAAGCCCUUACGGGGAAAGAUUUAUCGCCGAAAGAUCGGCCCGCGUCUGAUUAGCUAGUUGGUGAGGUAAUGGCUCACCAAGGCGACGAUCAGUAGCUGGUCUGAGAGGAUGAUCAGCCACAUUGGGACUGAGACACGGCCCAAACUCCUACGGGAGGCAGCAGUGGGGAAUAUUGGACAAUGGGCGCAAGCCUGAUCCAGCCAUGCCGCGUGAGUGAUGAAGGCCCUAGGGUUGUAAAGCUCUUUUGUGCGGGAAGAUAAUGACGGUACCGCAAGAAUAAGCCCCGGCUAACUACGCGCCAGCAGCCGC
rnacentral:rRNA from 1 species